GUAAAAUGUAACUGAUGAUCUUACUAAUAAAAUUAAGUGAAUCUAACUUAUUUUGAAUAAGUUUAUUGACCUUACUAAGUUUAAUAAAGUAAGGUCAACUUUUUAGCACGGAAAGUUAAUAAACUCAAAAUAUUCAAUUACCCUCUACUUAAAAUAGUAAGUAUUUUGAAAAUGUUCGAGUUGUCAUGCGCGGUGCUACCAGUAGGUGGAGCCGAUUUGAAACGGAAACGGAAUAACAUUAUUUCUGGUGAAGAGCACAUGGAAAGUGCUUGUUUUGUGAGAUGACUUGAGACAUGCAAUGGAAAUGAUUUCAAGAGAGCUUCAUCGUGGAACACCCUUGCCGCUUUUGCAUGGUGAAAAAGAGUGAAAUUCAACAGAAAGACGUACUGUCAGGAAGAUUUGAACCCAGGACAAAGGUUCACAGAACGCAAUGGAGACAAGAACUAUACUUAGAGUGAUAGUGAAUGAAAAUGACAUACGGAAAAUCACACUGCAUAGUAAACCACAAACUUUGGAGACAUUGAUGGAGCAUCUUGAAGAGAAGUUGGGUCUUCCAUACAAGUUUUCUCUUCAGUACGAAGAUGCUGAUUUUAACAAUGCACUAAUUAACCUCACAGACAUUGCAGAUUUACCUGAGAGGCCCACCUUAAAGGUGAUCUCCCUUGUUCCAUCUCCUACAGCAAGUACAGCUGACACAGACAUUGUAUCUUUGUCUUCUGAAGAAGGGUCAUCUCAUGUACGCCAGGCUCAGUGGCCAGAGACAUUUGAAGUCCCCAAUUUUCCUGUAGAU